AUACGGAGGGGGCUAGCGUUGUUCGGAAUUACUGGGCGUAAAGCGUACGUAGGCGGACUGAUCAGUUGGGGGUGAAAUCCCAGGGCUUAACCCUGGAACUGCCUUCAAUACUGUCAGUCUUGAGAUUGGAAGAGGUGAGUGGAAUUCCUAGUGUAGAGGUGAAAUUCAUAGAUAUUAGGAGGAACACCAGUGGCGAAGGCGGCUCACUGGUCCAAUACUGACGCUGAGGUACGAAAGCGUGGGGAGCAAACAGGAGUAGAUACCCGAGUAGUCC
rnacentral:rRNA from 1 species